UGGGGAAUAUUGCACAAUGGGCGAAAGCCUGAUGCAGCAACGCCGCGUGAGUGAUGAAGGUCUUCGGAUUGUAAAGCUCUGUCUUUUGGGACGAUAAUGACGGUACCAAAGGAGGAAGCCACGGCUAACUACGUGCCAGCAGCCGCGGUAAUACGUAGGUGGCGAGCGUUGUCCGGAUUUACUGGGCGUAAAGGGUGCAUAGGCGGAUGUUUAAGUGAGAUGUGAAAUACCCGGGCUUAACUUGGGUGCUGCAUUUCAAACUGGAUAUCUAGAGUGCAGGAGAGGAGAAUGGAAUUCCUAGUGUAGCGGUGAAAUGCAUAGAGAUUAGGAAGAACACCAGUGGCGAAGGCGAUUCUCUGGACUGUAACUGACGCUGAGGCACGAAAGCGUGGGUAGCAAACAGGAUUAGAUACCCUGGUAGUCCACGCCGUAAAACGAUGAGUACUAGGUGUAGGAGGUAUCGACCCCUUCUGUGCCGCAGUAAACACAUUAAGUACUCCGCCU
rnacentral:rRNA from 1 species